GGUUUCCACUAUGUCACAAGAGACUCUCCUGGAAAAGGCACUCUUGAAACUGGUCAAUAUAAGGAAAGCUGUUCAGCAGGUAGGACAUGGAGGUUCUCAGUGACAUCAUCAUCAUUAGGUCCUUCCCGAAAAAUAUCUUGUAACCUGGAGAGCCCUAGCUCCUUCUGUGAGGUCAGAAGUGUUGUUGUGACACCACCUGCUUCUCAGAUAUUCCUUCAGUACAUCUAGGGUUUGUAACUGGCCUUUAAUUCAGAGUAAACAGCCAUUUUUUAGGGAGAGCAAAGAGGAUGAAAGGAUCCAAGAAGAGGAGAAGGAAGCUGCCCUUCUGUCAUGGUAUAAAAAAGGAAGAAAUACAUGGUCCACUGGAGAGCUCAGUGAAUCCUGGGAACCUAUUGAGGUUGAUGUUUAACUGGACCUCAAGCCAUUCCUCUCACUGCCCAUCCUCCUAAGUAUGAUGUAUGGCCUGAAGAAAUAAUCAUGGUGGGAACACAGCUUUUCUGAUGUCUCGAAAUUUUUGGAUAAACUAAGGAUUUGGAAGUUCAUCAUUGGAAGUAGGUACAUAAUAUUUACAUUUUUAUAUUCAACCUUAGGUGGGACCCUUGGGUUGCCAAAAUCAUUGCAAAAAAACAUGAAAUUGGAAAACAGAAUUUUUCACUUCACAUUCAGGAAUAUAUAAAGUCACCUAUCAAGGAAUGUACAAUGAGAAACUGUAAUGAAAUAUGAAUUCAAUUAAAGGAUUGUAGGGAAAAUGCUGGCCUUUGGGAAACAGAGAUAACCUAGGAUAUUGAACUGUAUGUCACAGUAAUGGACCUGGUAAUAAAAUUAUUAUCCAGAGGAAUCUCUUCCACUCCAUGUUCCGAGAUCUUUUCUACCCAUGCAAAGCUCCUGAUUAUCUUUUCCUUUCAGAGCAUGUAACCACUAAGGAAAUAAAGAGAAGUUUCUAGCUUUAAAGACAUGUAGUAUGAAAAGGUUUCCAUUGUUUCACAGGAGACAAACCUUGCAAGGGCACCCUCGAAUCUGGUCAUUGAAAGGAAAACACUUUAGCAGGUAGGCCAUGGCAAUUCUCAGUGACAUCACCAUUAGGCCUAUCUAAAAAAAUCUGUUGUAUCCUGGAGAUCCCUAGUUUCUUCUGUGAUGUAACAAGUGUUGUCCUGACAGAAGUUGCCUCUCCAGUAGUCCUUCAGUACCUCUAGGGUUUACUAUUUGGCCUCUAAUUCAGCAUAAACAGCCUUUGGGAAGGAGAAAAAAGAGGAUGAAGUGAUCAAAGAUGGGAAGAAGGAAGCUGGCCUUCUGCUUUGUUAUAAAAAAAAAGAAAUAUGUGGUCCAUGGGAAAUCUCAGUCAUUUCUGGGUAGUGGUUGAGAAGGUUUGCUGAAAAGAUAGUAUUGAUUGGAGCCUUUCAAAUAUGGUAAUCAGGAGAUGGGAGCCUCUCAGAUGCAUCUGGACUUCCCUGCUAGUUAUGGUUCCUGGAAGUCGGAGAAUUUAUAUCAUUCAUGUCUUUUUUCCAAAGCCAAGUGUUGGGAAGGGCACAGUUUUCUUUAAAGCUGAUGGUUUUGGUCCUAAGGAAGAAGGGAAAGACAAGUAUUGUGUCCUCAGCUCAGAGUAAAUUACUCCGUGCUUUGGAUUCCUAGAGUGCAGAUUGUGUCUGACACUGAUAUCUGGGAGAGAAAAUUGCUUCUAUUUGAGAUUUCACCAUCUUCGUCUUUGAACUAGUAUUACUCUGACUAUCAUUCCCUGACAGUGACCCUUUAGAUUUCUGAGUCAAAGGGUGUAAUUAAUUGGCAGUUUUCUUUUCUUUUAUUUCUUUCAUUUUUUUCUUUUUUAGCAAAAUAUAUAGCUUUUUUAAAUUUGAUAUUUCUAUAUUUACAUUACAAAUGUUAUUCCUUUUCCAAUUUCCUGUCUCUAAGAUCCCUAACCAGUCCACCUCCCAUUCUACUAUAAUCCCCUUACUACCCCUUUGCAUUCCCAUGAACUGUGAAUCAAAUAUAGGGAGGACCAAGAGCUUCUACUUCUGUUGGUUCCCAAGAAGGCCAUCUGGUACUAAAUAUGCAGUGGGAGCCAUAGGUAUGUCCAUGUACAUUCGUUGAAUAUUGGUCUAGUACUAGAAAGCUCUGGUUCAUUGACAUUGUUUUUCUUAUGGGUUUGCAAACCCCUUUACCUCUUGUAAUCCUUUCUCAAAAGUUAUCAACAAGAGUUCCAUUUACAAGUAACUGGUUUGCCACAAGCAUUCACUUAUGUAAUUGACAUAUUCUAGCUGUGUUUCUCAGGAAAUGUCUAUAUCCUCUUCCUGGCAGAAUGCACUUCUUAACUUCAACAAUCUUAUCUUAUUUUGGUGGCAGAUCUAUCUAUCUAUCUAUCUAUCUAUCUAUCUAUCUAUCUAUCUAUCUAUUUAUCUAUCUAUCUAUCUAUCUAUCUAUCAUAUAUAUAUUGGCUCCUAUGUGAGGUUAGAUGGAAUUUACCAUUGAUUCUGCGCAUCUAGAACAAGAAUGUAGAAUCUACAGAUGCAAAGGUCCCUCCUGUCCUUAUGAACUUAUUGAAAUUGAGGUUUCAGUUGAACUCAAAACAUUUCUUUCCCUGCCCAUCCACCUAAGUCUUAUGUUUGGCCUGAAAAAAGAAUCAUUGUAAAAUAUCCAAAAACCUCAAGUGUGGCCAUGGGAACACAAGAAGGAAGAUAUUGCAGAAAUGAUAUCAAAUGGGAAUAGAGAAACGAAUUGUAUAGUACAUGUUGUCUUUGAUUUACUGAUGUAUGAUGAUUUUUGGAUAAAAUAAGAAUUUGGAGUUUAUCAUUUGAAGUAGGUACAAAAUAUUUACACUGUUCUCUGCACUCUAUACUUCGGCCCUCUUUUUUGCCAAAAUCAUUACAAAAAUGCAACUGUAAAAGAGAAUUUUUGAGUACACUUUCAGGAAUGAAUACAAAGUGCCCUAUCUAGGAAUGAAGAAUUAGAAAAUGAAAUACAAUAUUCACUCAAUUAAAGGUCUGUAUGGAAAAUAAUGGCCUUUGGGAAACAGAGAAAAACUAGGAAAUUGACCUGUAUGUCACAGGAAUGGACCAGGGAGCAAAAUUAUUAUCAAGAAGAAUCUCCUCCACUCCAUCUUCCUAGAUCUUUUCUACCCAUGCCAAGUCCCGAUUAAUUUUGUCCAUUCAGACCAUGUAAAUACUAAUGCAGCAAAGAGAAGUCUCUAGCGUUAGAGAGAUGGAGUACAAAAGGUUUCCACUGUGUCAUAGGAGACUCUCCUAGAAAGGGCACCGUCAAAUCUGGUCAAUGUAAGGAAAUCUGUUUAGCAGGUAGUCCAUGGCAGUUCUCAGUGACAUCAUCCUUAGUACCCCCGUAAUAUAUCUCUUGUAUCCUUGAGAGCCCUAUCUUCUUCUGUGUUGUCACAAGUGUUGUCCUGACAGCAACUGCCUCUCAGAUAUUCAUUCCAUAUAUCUAUGGUUUACUAAUUGGCCUAUAAUUCAGUGUAAAGUGCCAUUUGGGAGGGAGGACAAAUAGGAUGAAGAUAUCAGAGAUGGGGAGAAGAAAGCUGACCUUCUGUCUUGGUACAAAAAAGGUCCUUGGGAAAGCUCUCUGAGUCCUUAGUAGGUGUUGAGUUGUUUCAUGAAGAGAUUGUCUUGAUCUGAGCCGUCUACAAAUGGGAAUUAGGAGCUGGGGUCCUCUCAGAAGCAUCUGGACUUCCUGCUCUUACAGUUCCUGGAAAUCAGAGAGUUUAUAUCAUUAAUUUCUUUAUCCCAAAACCCAAGUUUGGGAAGGUCACAGUUGUUUUCCUGACAGCUCAUGGCUUUUAUUCUUUUUGCCCAGAAGAAAAAUGUCCUAAGGAAGAAGUGAAAGACAAGUACUAUGUCCUCAUCUCAGGGUAAACUCCUCCACGCUUUGGAUUCCUAUAGUUCAGUUUGUGUCUGACACUGAUAUCUGGGAGAGAGAAGUGCUUCUAGUCGACUCUUAAUCAUAUCAGUCUUUUCACCAUUAUUAUUCUGAUUACCAUUCCCUGACAGUUACUCAUUAUAUUUCUGAAUUAAUAGGUGAGAAUGGCUAGCAGUUUCUUUUUUCAUUUCUUCCAUUUUUUUAGUAAAUUUUUGCUUAUUUUAUUGGCUAUUUCUAUAUUUACAUUUCAAAUGCUAUUUUCUUUCCAAAUUUCCUCUCCAUAAGGUUGUAACUGGACCGACUCCCCUUCUUUUACAACCCUCCUUACUGCACCUUGACCUUUCCUUGAACUGGGAACCAAACCUGAGAAGGACCAAGGGCUUCUACAUCCAUUGGUGCCCAAGGAAUCCAUCCUCUGCCACAUAUGCUGUUGGAGCCAUAGGACUUUCCAUGGGCAGAUUUUGAAUAUUGGUUUAGUGUCAGAAAGCUCUGGUUUGUUGGAAUAGUUGUUUUUAUGGGGUUGAAAGUCCCUUCAGCUCUUGUAAUCCUUUCUAAAUAUCUACCAAGAAGAGACAUGCUUUCUGUUCACCAGUUUACCACUAACAUUCACUUCUGUAUUUAACAUGCUCUAACUAUGACUCUCUGGAAAGAUCUUUCUCCAGUUCUUGGCAGCAUGCACCUCUUACCUUCAUCAAUCUUAUGUAAUUUUGGUGUCUCCUACACCUAUGAGGUUUGGUGGAAUUUUAACAUAAAUUAUGCACAACUGGGUCAAGAAUGUAGAAUCCACAAAUGACAAUGCCAAAUAGAUGCCAUUCUCUACUUAUGAAACUAUAGAAGUUAAGUUUUCCCUGGACCUCAAGACAUUCCUCUCACUGUCCAUCCCCCUGAACCUUAUGUUUGGCCUGAACAAAGAAUCAGGUUAAAAAACCCUCAACCCUCAUGUCAGAACCUUGGAAAUAAGGAAGGGAGAUAUUAGAGAACUGAUUAUCUUUUGGGACUACAGAACCACAUUCUAGAGUUGAUAUUGUCCUUUGCUUUACUGAUGUCUGUGAUUAUUGGAUAAAAUAAGGAUUUGGGAGUUUAUCAUUUGAAGUAGGUACACAAUAUUUACACUGUUAUAUUCACUUUAUCAUUGGGCCAAAAUCAUUGCAAAAAAUGGAAUUUUAAAACAGAAUUUUUGAGUAAACAUUCAGGAAUAUUUAUAAAGUUCCCUAUCAAGGAAUGUACAAUAAGAAAUUGAAACACAAUAUUCAUUCAAUUAAAGGUCUGUAGGGAGAAUACUGGCCUUUGGGAAACAGAGAAAACCUACAAAAUUUUUAUGUAUUUCACAGGAAUGAACCUGGGAAAAAAUUAUUAUCUAGAAGAAUCUCCUGCACUCCAUUUUCUUAAAUCGUUUAUACACAUGCCAAA